AUUAAAGAUUUAUUGGUAAAGGAUGGGCAUGCGUAUCAUUAGCUAGUUGGUAAGGUAACGGCUUACCAAGGCUACGAUGAUUAGGGGGCCUGAGAGGGUGAUCCCCCACACUGGUACUGAGAUACGGACCAGACUCCUACGGGAGGCAGCAGUAGGGAAUCUUCCGCAAUGGGCGAAAGCCUGACGGAGCAACGCCGCGUGAGUGAUGAAGGUCUUCGGAUCGUAAAACUCUGUUAUUAGGGAAGAACAUAUGUGUAAGUAACUGUGCACAUCUUGACGGUACCUAAUCAGAAAGCCACGGCUAACUACGUGCCAGCAGCCGCGGUAAUACGUA
rnacentral:rRNA from 18 species